rnacentral:rRNA from 1 species
UUUGAUCAUGCCUGAUUGAACGCUGGCGAUGUGUUUUUAUACAGCAAGUCGAAUUCAGGGCACGACUUCCUUGCGUCUGGUAAGGAGUAGUGAAUGGGUGGAGAGUAAUGUAUCGGAACGCCUAGUAGCGGGGGAUAACUACGCGAAAGCGUAGCUUGUUGCUCAGCACACAACCCUUCGGGGGAAAGCGGGGGGACUCGGGCCUCGCACUAUUAGAGCGGCCGAUAUCGGAUUAGCUAGUUGGUGGGGUAAACGGCCACUGGCGACGAUCCGUAGCUGGUUUGAGAGUGACGACCAGCCACACUGGACUGAGACACGGCCUUGACUCGCCGGAGGCAGCAGUGGAAUUUUGGAUAUUGGGAAACCUGAUCCGAAAGCUAUCCGGUGUGUGAUGAAGUGCGCCUCGGUUGUAAAGCACUUUGGCAGGAAAGAAAACGGCACGGAUAAUACUUCGUGCAACUGACGGUACCUGCAGAAUAAGCACCGGCUAACUACGUGCCAGCAGCCGCGGUAAUGUAGGGUGCAAGCGUUAAUCGGAAUUACUGGGCGUAAAAGCGUGCGCAGGCGGUUCGGAAAGAAAGAUGUGAAAUCAGAGCUUAACUUUGGAACUGCAUUUUAACUACCGAGCUAGAGUGUGUCAGAGGGAGGUGGAUUCCGCGUGUAGCAGUGAAAUGCGUAGAUAUGCGGAGGAACACCGAUGGCGAAGGCAGCCUCCUGGGAUAACACUGACGCUCAUGCACGAAAGCGUGGGAGCAAACAGGAUUAGAUACCCUGGUAGUCCACGCCCUAAACGAUGUCAACUAGCUGUUGGGGCCUUCGGGCCUGGUAGGCGCAGCUAACGCGUGAAGUUGACCGCCCGGGGAGUACGGUCGCAAGACAAAACUCCAAAGUGAAUUGAUUUGGACCCGCCGCUGUGGACAUGGAUUAAUUCGAUGCAACGCGAAAAACCUUACCUACCCUUGACAUGUUCAAUCCUGUGAGAUUUGGGAGUUUCGCAAGAGAACCGGAACACAGGUGCUGCAUGGCUGUCGUCAGCUCGUGUCGAGAUGCUGGGUUAAGUCCCGCAACGAGCGCAACCCUUGGUCAUUAGUUGCUACGAAAGGGCACUCUAAUGAAUGUUGCAGCAAACCUGAGGGUGUAGACGAUCGCCAGUCCUCAUGGUCUUGCGGUAGGGCUUCACACGUCAUACAAUGGUCGGGACAGAGGGUCGCCAACCCGCGAGGGGGAGCCAAUCCCAGAAACCCGAUCGUAGUCCGAUCGCAGUCUGCAACUCGACUGCGUGAAGUCGGAAUCGCUAGUAAUCGCGGAUCAGCAUGUCGCGGUGAAUACGUUCCUGGUCUUGUACACACCGCCCGUCACACAUGGGAGUGGGUUUUAACAGAAGUAGUUAGCCUAACCGUGAAGAGGGUGAUUAACACGGUAGGGAUUCGGCGACUGGGGUGAAGUCGUAACAAGGUAG